CGGGUGAGUAAUGCCUAGGAAUCUGCCUGGUAGUGGGGGACAACGUUUCGAAAGGAACGCUAAUACCGCAUACGUCCUACGGGAGAAAGCAGGGGACCUUCGGGCCUUGCGCUAUCAGAUGAGCCUAGGUCGGAUUAGCUAGUUGGUGGGGUAAAGGCCUACCAAGGCGACGAUCCGUAACUGGUCUGAGAGGAUGAUCAGUCACACUGGAACUGAGACACGGUCCAGACUCCUACGGGAGGCAGCAGUGGGGAAUAUUGGACAAUGGGCGAAAGCCUGAUCCAGCCAUGCCGCGUGUGUGAAGAAGGUCUUCGGAUUGUAAAGCACUUUAAGUUGGGAGGAAGGUCAGUAAGUUAAUACCUUGCUGAUUUGACGUUACCAACAGAAUAAGCACCGGCUAACUUCGUGCCAGCAGCCGCGGUAAUACGAAGGGUGCAAGCGUUAAUCGGAAUUACUGGGCGUAAAGCGCGCGUAGGUGGUUUGGUAAGAUGGAUGUGAAAUCCCCGGGCUCAACCUGGGAACUGCAUCCAUAACUGCCUGACUAGAGUACGGUA
rnacentral:rRNA from 1 species